rnacentral:lncRNA from 1 species
GGGAGCAGUUGUGCAGCCCCAGUGCAGCCACAUCAUGGGGCCAUCGCUGUCCUGUAAUCAGCAUCCAUGGCCAAGGUCCCACGCGAGGCAGAGAGAAAAGGAAUGUGAGCAGCUACUUGGCACCGGCAGGAUGGAAUGACUGUGCUGGAGGAGCUCCGGGAGAAGGAAAAAACCACAUCAAGGCUGUCUGCCUUCCUCAUCCUGAAUUACAGCACCCAGAGAGGAAUACGCCAGGGGUUGGGACAUGGUCAGCAUGUUCUGCAGAUGUUCUGAACGUGAGCGUUGCCAUCUUCUCUGUUGCCAUACACAAAGCUGCAAUCAUCUUGUCCAUACAAAGGGAAACCACCAAAGCCUCAUGCUCUGGAGAGUCCCUCUGCUUCCAUGCAGGUAUGGUUAGGUCCCUGUGACCCCAAAUCCACACUCUCC